rnacentral:rRNA from 1 species
GACGAACCGUGCGAACGUUGUUCGGAAUCACUGGGCAUAAAGCGCACGUAGGCGGCGACGUAAGUUGGGUGUGAAAUCCCUCGGCCCAACCGACGGAACUGCGCCCAGUACUGCGUUGCUUGAGGAUCCAAGGGGUGCAUGGAAUUCCCGGUGGAGCGGUGAAAUGCGUUGAUAUCGGGAGGAACUCCGGCGGCGAAAGCGGUGCACUGGUGGAUUACUGACGCUGAGGUGCGAAAGCCAGGGGAGCAAACGGG